rfam:Gossypium raimondii Chr04_contig_149, whole genome shotgun sequence.
AAUAGGAGAAUGACAAAUCAGAUUUUUCCUCUUGAUUUUCCGCUUUUUACUCCUGAAAAAAUUCAAAUUCAACUAAAAAUAUUAAAAAUCGUUAGAAAAAAUCUAAUUUGUCAUUCUUCUAUU